GUCCUGUAAUUGGAAUUUUCUAUUAGAGGAUCAUUGUCUGGUUAACUGUCCCUCAGGUAAUGAGGUAAAAACCAUCCAAGAAACAGACCGUCUCCGCUAGAACUGGGUAAUGAGUCCCCGGACAGCACCGGCAAGACCUCAGCUGUGGCAUGUCUGGGGCAGGGUGAAGGAGAGAGGCGAGGACUGGCGCCGCGACCUCCCGGCCACAGAAUGCAGAUGUGAGGAACGUUGCCUGAUAGAGUGGAAUAUUCACAUGAAGAUGGCAGUCCCAUGAUACGCCCGCAGCUGGGCAACCCGGGGACGUAAUGGUAGGGAGGGGCGUGUAUGCGACGAACUGGAGGCGCGGCAGGAGCGGAUCAGCAGCUGGGGUG